UACUUCAAGAUUCCUGUAUAUUCUACGGAGUAUAAUAAAACCCAAAUGUGAGUUCUCCUAAUGAAUAAUGUAUUUGUAUCUACUAAGCAUUAAUGACAAAGUCUCUUUUGUCGAACUGUUGGAAUUUACACAAUCUACUUCACAAAGGCUCUGCCAGCAUUUUCAUUCUAAAGUGAAGGUGCAGUAUGUUCAUCUGUCAGCAGAAUGAGGUGACUUUGGGGAUAUCGUGAUUUCUGUAUUUUCCUCCCUCUGAAUCUUUCAGCACGUGGGGCUGAGUGGGAGGACAGAUGUGCCUCAGCUGGGCGUGCAGGCAGCGCUCAAAAGAUCCACAUUGGCCUGUCUUGAGAUUCACUGUAUCUGUUUAAAUACAAAGGUUGAAGCGGCAUGGACACGUUUUUCCUCAUAUGCUUGUGGAAAAUCAGAAUGAGAAUGCCAGCUAGCAUGCCCGUUAUUGAGAAGAUGAAUAGGGCACAGUUAUUGUUACAACCUUCAUCCCAACAAUCUCUUGGAUCUUCACCAAGAGCGAGCAGUGAGCCUUGGCUGGACUACUGGAGCGAUACAUUAGAAUAAAGGAACUGUUCUUAUCCUGAAAAAAACCUGAAAUCAAAUGGACUUCAGGAAAGAGAAGAAACCAGCUCUGCUCAGCUUCAUGUGUACUCUGACUUCUGGGAUGUUUUAUGGGUUUUUCAGUUCUUGGGAUUGAUGUUCUGCGGGAGAAAAUGCCAUGUUAGUAUGAACCUCCCGGGCUGAGUUGUUACUUCUCGAGCGCAGUGUGGCACUCGAUGCUGUUAAAAUGAAGAAUCAAUCUGUCCUCCCCCCUACCCUGAGUGACCCCACUGUAAUAAAAAAGCUUUGUCUUGUAAUUUCCUAGGAAAUCUUGACCUCUCUUGUCUCCUGCUUUGUUUUUCCUCUUCUUACUCUCUAUUGCUUCCCCACCUCUAGUUAUCUCCAACGUUAUUCCAAAUAUAUUGAUAUGAUUAUCAGAGCUAGAAAUAAUACUUUUUAAACUUGGAUAUUGGUUGUGGUGGGUUUUUUUGCUCAUCGUAUAUCUUCUGGUUUCAAAUUAUGACUUGUCUACCAGACUAAAGAAUUAAUAGAAGUUUGGUUAAAAAAAAAAAUAAAAUAUUUAAAAAUUAA